rnacentral:rRNA from 1 species
UCCAGAGGGGGCAAGCGUUAUUCGGAAUUAUUGGGCGUAAAGGGCGCGUAGGCGGCUUGGCAAGUGGAUGGUGAAAUCCCUCGGCUUAACCGAGGAACUGCCGUACAAACUGCUUCGCUUGAGACCGGGAGAGGUGAGUGGAAUUCCCAGUGUAGCGGUGAAAUGCGUAGAUAUUGGGAGGAACACCAGUGGCGAAGGCGGCUCACUGGACCGGUACUGACGCUGAUGCGCGAAAGCGUGGGGAGCAAACGGG